UUGAUAGCAGGGUGCUUACAUUUUAAAUAAUAUCCCAGACAGCAGUGGUUCCAUUAUUUACUUUAUCUGACAUCCAAAUUGACUGGGUGUCAGUCUUGAGAGGGUUUUUGUUUUUUGCUUUUGUUUGUUUGUUUGUUUGGGUUUUUUUUUCUCCUUCUCAUUUGUUUUGUGCUAGCAUGUUUUUCCCUUGCUUUGUUUUAGUUUAGAGCAUGUAUACUAAGAGUAAAGAUGGGGUUUUGGUUGCUAGCUAGCUGUGACAGAGAAUCUGGAAUUUAGGACCUGCAGACUGAAAAGUGUGUGGAGAAGAAGAAAAGAAUUAUAGUCUGACAGGAGAGAAUCAUCAGUCCAUAAAUGAAGAAACUUACAGUCAAACCAGUCAGCCCUAGGAUUUACUCUUUUGCUUAGUGAGCUAGAAUAGCUAUAAUAACUACAUUGAAAGAUAAGAGUAGACAGUGUAAAAACAUUCAUAUACUUACUUUCUAAACCCUAGUCAAACAUCUUUUCUCAGGCUAUUUAGAGUUUUCAUUGAUACAGCUGCAGUAGUCAAUAGGAAACUUAACUAAAUAUUUUCCUUUUCUGUACUGAGGAUCUAAUUCAGUGUCUUGUGCAUUAGGCCAGUGCUCUAACACUUAGCCAGAUCCAUGUCCUAUAAAUAUUUUAAUCCUUUGUCGUUUCAUUCAUAGCAUAUUCUGAGCUUCAUAUACCAUACAGAAAUAAGAGCUGUGUGCCAUCAGUUCUUUGAGAUUUUCUUGAAUAUACUUUAGACAUUUAGAACUAUGUAGCCAAUUGUUUCUAUUAACAGUUUACAUAUUCUAAAGCUUUGCAGAUGUGCUUUCAACUCUGGAAUAUUCUUUUUUUUGUCCUCAAUUGGCUUCUAUAGGGACAAUUUGAAUACCAUGUUUAAAAGUCUUUAGGGCACCUCAGGAUCUCAGGGCCCACAAAAUAUUAAUGUUUAAUGUUAAUCUCUAAGCAACAUAACAUACAAUUUCUUCAAAGUUUACUUGAGGACUCCUUUUAUCAUUUUUUCCUGGAAACAUCUAAAGACAUAAAAUGCUGAAUUGUUCUAUCUUGUUUGGGAACAAAUAAAACCUAAGUCAUUAAAAUAAGUGUUACUUUAAAAUGGGGAGAAAGGAGACACAUCUGAAGAAGAAAGGAAAAUCACGAGCUACCAAAAGUUAAGGAGACAAAUUCUUCAAGAGUUGUUUUGUUGUUCCUCACUGCCUGCCCCCUCCAUUCUUCUGUCUCUGCCUCCCUUCUUUUCCUUUCUUCUUCUGUCCUUUCCUGCUUCUCCCCCUCUUCUUCCCCUCUCUGGAACAGAAAGUCUAUAUGCUAGUAAAUACAACUCUCUUAGUGGGCAUCUGCAGGGAACCAAACUCUACAGAAACUAGGGUAUUCAUUGAGAGUGAGAGGAUUAAUUAUAACUUAGUACCUAUAGAAGGCUGUUAGCAUUGAAAGAAGGAAGUAGAAAUAGCAAUCAUGACAAUGUCAGUCAUCUAUACAGCAUCAUCCUACUUAUUUUGAGAACUAUUUUUUUCACAGCGCUUCAUAAACCUAUGGUAUAGGGAGGGACUAGACAAUACACAUCACAUAAUAAGUUCUAAGUCUUGAUAAGCUACUGAAGGUUGGAGCGAACAUGCACCUAUUUUAAAGGAGUUGGUGUAACCAGGGCCCUUGCUCUCUUCAAACUACAUUAUAUUACCUAGAGAAAAUCAUGCAUACUGAAAACAAUUUAGAGCCCAUCUGAAAAUGGUCCCAAGCUACAACAGACUGCAGCAAAAAUUUUAAAGUCUUUAUAUGAGGGCACCAGGAAUGAGAAUGAAGGGUGAGUUUAGAGAUCCUGGAAGACACGUAAAGCCCUCCGCUUUUGAUUUAAUUGAUGAGUUCACAUUGAUCCAGGGAAGUGGAGUUCCCUGUAUCAGUUAGAGCUGAUGGUAGCAUUCUGAAUAUGAAGAUGGAGAAAUUAUAAUACCAUUGACAAAACUGAGGAGCACGUAUGGAUGAUAUAGAUUCAGGGAAGAUGCUGCAUCUGAAUUUUAAUGGUCUCAAGUUGGAAAUGAUGUCAGCAUCUCAGAAUUAUACAACUGCAUUGGAAAGGAGG
rnacentral:lncRNA from 1 species